GUGCCUUAAACUAAUGAGUAAGGAAAAUAUCAAAGCCUUGGUGACGCUUGGCUUUAUCCAAAGCUUUUACAAGCAAUAGGAAUUUUUGUAAGGGCAAAGGUCGUCCCUGAGUGGCUAGCCUACUUUUGCUGGCUGCGACGGUGGAGCGAUCUACCCU